rnacentral:sRNA from 1 species
UCGUAGGCACACGAUUCAGGUGCCGGCACGAA